rnacentral:rRNA from 1 species
GACCUUCGGGUCUAGUGGCGCACGGGUGCGUAACGCGUGGGAAUCUGCCCUUUGCUACGGAAUAACUCAGAGAAAUUUGUGCUAAUACCGUAUAAUGUCGUAAGACCAAAGAUUUAUCGGCAAAGGAUGAGCCCGCGUAAGAUUAGCUUGUUGGUGGGUAAGGCCUACCAAGGCGACGAUCUUUAGCUGGUCUGAGAGGAUGAUCAGCCACACUGGGACUGAGACACGGCCCAGACUCCUACGGGAGGCAGCAGUGGGGAAUAUUGGACAAUGGGCGAAAGCCUGAUCCAGCAAUGCCGCGUGAGUGAUGAAGGCCUUAGGGUUGUAAAGCUCUUUACCAGGGAUGAUAAUGACAGUACCUGGAGAAUAAGCUCCGGCUAACUCCGUG